GGAGUUGUAACUCAGUGGUAGAGUGGAGGAUUGCAGAUCCUCUGGUCACGUGUUCGAACCACGUCAGCUCCU